GAAAAAUAACGAUACGGGACUCAUCCGAGGCCCCGUAAUCGGAAUGAGUACACUUUAAAUCCUUUAACGAGUAUCCAUUGGAGGGCAAGUCUGGUGCCAGCAGCCGCGGUAAUUCCAGCUCCAAUAGCGUAUAUUAAAGUUGUUGCGGUUAAAAAGCUCGUAGUUGGACUUGUGUCCCACGCUGUCGGUUCACCGCCCGUCGGUGUUUAACUGACAUGUAUUGUGGGACGUCCUGCCGGUGGUGGCGAGUCGACAGCGCGCGGCUCCCGUGGUUCGCCGCGGGUCGACGUGCGUCUGGAGACGGACCCCGAUGAAAUCCUACCGUGGUGCUCUUAACCGAGUGUCGAGGUGGGCCGGCACGUUUACUUUGAACAAAUUAGAGUGCUUAAAGCAGGCCUGAUGCGCCUGAAUACUGAGUGCAUGGAAUAAUGGAAUAGGACCUCGGUUCUAUUUUGUUGGUUUUCGGAACCCGAGGUAAUGAUUAAUAGGGACAGUCGGGGGCAUUCGUAUUGCGACGUUAGAGGUGAAAUUCUUGGAUCGUCWCAAGACGGACCGAAGCGAAAGCAUUUGCCAAGUAUGUUUUCAUUAAUCAAGAACGAAAGUUAGAGGUUCGAAGGCGAUCAGAUACCGCCCUAGUUCUAACCAUAAACKAUGCCAGCUAGCGAUCCGCCKAAGUUCCUCCGAUGACUCGGCGGGCAGCUCCCGGGAAACCAAAGCUUUUGGGUUCCGGGGGAAGUAUGGUUGCAAAGCUGAAACUUAA
rnacentral:rRNA from 1 species